rnacentral:rRNA from 1 species
GACGAACGCUGGCGGCGUGCUUAACACAUGCAAGUCGAACGGAAAGGCCCUGCUUUUGUGGGGUGCUCGAGUGGCGAACGGGUGAGUAACACGUGAGUAACCUGCCCUUGACUUUGGGAUAACUUCAGGAAACUGGGGCUAAUACCGGAUAGGAGCUCCUGCUGCAUGGUGGGGGUUGGAAAGUUUCGGCGGUUGGGGAUGGACUCGCGGCUUAUCAGCUUGUUGGUGGGGUAGUGGCUUACCAAGGCUUUGACGGGUAGCCGGCCUGAGAGGGUGACCGGCCACAUUGGGACUGAGAUACGGCCCAGACUCCUACGGGAGGCAGCAGUGGGGAAUAUUGCACAAUGGGCGGAAGCCUGAUGCAGCAACGCCGCGUGCGGGAUGACGGCCUUCGGGUUGUAAACCGCUUUCGCCUGUGACGAAGCGUGAGUGACGGUAAUGGGUAAAGAAGCACCGGCUAACUACGUGCCAGCAGCCGCGGUGAUACGUAAGGUGCGAGCGUUGUCCGGAUUUAUUGGGCGUAAAAGGCUCGUAGGUGGUUGAUCGCGUCGGAAGUGUAAUCUUGGGGCUUAACCCUGAGCGUGCUUUCGAUACGGGUUGACUUGAGGAAGGUAGGGGAGAAUGGAAUUCCUGGUGGAGCGGUGGAAUGCGCAGAUAUCAGGAGGAACACCAGUGGCGAAGGCGGUUCUCUGGGCCUUUCCUGACGCUGAGGAGCGAAAGCGUGGGGAGCGAACAGGCUUAGAUACCCUGGUAGUCCACGCUGUAAACGGUGGGUACUAGGUGUGGGGUCCAUUCCACGGGUUCCGUGCCGUAGCUAACGCUUUAAGUACCCCGCCUGGGGAGUACGGCCGCAAGGCUAAAACUCAAAGGAAUUGACGGGGCCCCGCACAAGCGGCGGAGCAUGCGGAUUAAUUCGAUGCAACGCGUAGAACCUUACCUGGGUUUGACAUGGAUCGGGAGCGCUCAGAGAUGGGUGUGCCUCUUUUGGGGUCGGUUCACAGGUGGUGCAUGGCUGUCGUCAGCUCGUGUCGUGAGAUGUUGGGUUAAGUCCCGCAACGAGCGCAACCCUUGUUCACUGUUGCCAGCACGUUAUGGUGGGGACUCAGUGGAGACCGCCGGGGUCAACUCGGAGGAAGGUGGGGAUGACGUCAAGUCAUCAUGCCCCUUAUGUCCAGGGCUUCACGCAUGCUACAAUGGCUGGUACAGAGAGUGGCGAGCCUGUGAGGGUGAGCGAAUCUCGGAAAGCCGGUCUCAGUUCGGAUUGGGGUCUGCAACUCGACCUCAUGAAGUCGGAGUCGCUAGUAAUCGCAGAUCAGCAACGCUGCGGUGAAUACGUUCCCGGGGCU